rnacentral:rRNA from 1 species
AUUGAACGCUGGCGGCAGGCCUAACACAUGCAAGUCGAGCGAGCGGCGGACGGGUGAGUAAUGUCUGGGGACUGCCCGAUAGAGGGGGAUAACUACUGGAAACGGUGGCUAAUACCGCAUACUAUCGGAUAACCCAUAUGGGAUUAGCUAGUAGGUGGGGUAAAGGCUCACCUAGGCGACGAUCCCUAGCUGGUCUGAGAGGAUGAUCAGCCACACUGUGACUGAGACACGGCCCAGACUCCUACGGAGGAAGCAGUGGGGAAUAUUGGACAAUGGGCGCAAGCCGGAUGCAGCCAUGCCGGUUGUAUGAAGAAGGCCUUAGUGUUGUAAAGUACUGUCAGCGGGGAGGCGUUACCCGCAGAAGAAGCACCGGCUAACUCCGUGCCAGCCGCCGCGGUAAUUC